AGCCCCGUCGUCUAGCGGCCAAGGAUUUCACCCUCUGGAGGUGGAGACGGCAGUUGUGUCAAAAACAUAAGCCGAAUUCAAAUCUGCCCGGGGCUA
rnacentral:tRNA from 1 species